rnacentral:lncRNA from 1 species
AAUUAGUUUAGGAUUAGGAUGUGGUUUAGGAUUUGGAUAGGGUUUGAUUUAGGAUUUAGGAUAGGAUUUAGGGUUUGAUUUAGGAUUUAGUUAGGAUUUGAUUUAGGAUUUAGGAUUUAGAGUUUGUUUAGGAUUUGGUUAGGGUUUGAUUUAGGAUUUGGUUUAGGAUUUAGUUAGGAUUUGAUUUAGGGUUUAGGGUUUGAUUAGGGUUUGAUUUAGGAUUUAGGAUUUGAUUAGAUUUUGAUUUAGGAUUUAAGAUUUGGUUUAGGAUUUGCUUAGGAUUAUGUUUAGGAUUUAGGGUUUGGAUUUAGGAUUUGAUUAGAAUUUUGUUUAGGAUUUUAUUAGGAUUUAUUUAGGGUUUAAGAUUUAAUUAAUUUUGGCCUAAAUUUUGAAUGAAGUCCAAUAGGAUUUUCACUAGGAUUGAAUUAAGAUUGAAUUGAAACAUAUUUUUGAUCAUUCUUAUAUUUCUUUAAGAUUUCUUAUUAUUUCUUCAAAAUUUCUUUGAAGUUUUUUUGAAUUUGAUUAAGCUUGUUUAGUAUUAUUAUGGUCUAAUUAGAGCACUGUUAGUAUUCUAUUAAAUGUAAGAUAUUGUUAUUACAAUUUCUAUUCUUCCUUUUACAACCAAGUACUUGGAGCAUUCUGAAG